UUGCACAAUGGGCGAAAGCCUGAUGCAGCGACGCCCGCGUGAGGGAUGACGGCCUUCGGGUUGUAAACCUCUUUCAGCAGGGACGAAGCGCAAGUGACGGUACCUGCAGAAGAAGCACCGGCUAACUACGUGCCAGCAGCCGCGGUAAUACGUAGGGUGCAAGCGUUGUCCGGAAUUACUGGGCGUAAAGAGUUCGUAGGCGGUUUGUCGCGUCGUUUGUGAAAACCAGCAGCUCAACUGCUGGCUUGCAGGCGAUACGGGCAGACUUGAGUACUGCAGGGGAGACUGGAAUUCCUGGUGUAGCGGUGAAAUGCGCAGAUAUCAGGAGGAACACCGGUGGCGAAGGCGGGUCUCUGGGCAGUAACUGACGCUGAGGAACGAAAGCGUGGGUAGCGAACAGGAUUAGAUACCCUGGUAGUCCACGCCGUAAACGGUGGGCGCUAGGUGUGGGUUCCUUCCACGGAAUCCGUGCCGUAGCUAACGCAUUAAGCGCCCCGCCUGGGGAGUACGGCCGCAAGGCUA
rnacentral:rRNA from 1 species